GCUUUAGACCAUUACAGCUCUGUUAGAAUGCAGAUUUCUGGGACUCCUCAAAGUACUUGAAUAUGAAAGUAACACAAGACCAUGGCUCACUAUAAAUAUAAAAGCUGUAUUUUGAAAAUUCUUAUUAAACAGUAUUUUCUAAUUUGUUUAACGUUCGUUUCUACUCUAAGACUUUAAUAAUUGAUUAUUACAUAGUAAGUGAACUCAAUAAGUAAUCAUGAUUAAGAUUAGGCUUAUAAUUAACCUAUAAAAUAAAACAGUCUUUCUAUUUUUUAGAGGAAAUAUUUCAAGGAAACAUUUCAAGUUGUUUUUUUGGUACUUGGGAAAAGAAUGUGUAUUGAUU
rnacentral:lncRNA from 1 species